rnacentral:rRNA from 1 species
AUCGAACGCUGGCGGCAGGCCUAACACAUGCAAGUCGAGCGGAUGCUGCGAGCUUGCUCCUGGAUUCAGCGGCGGACGGGUGAGUCAUGCCUUGGAAUCUGCCUGGUCGUGGGGGAUAACGUCCUGAUACGGGCUCUAAUACCGCAUCCGUCCUGUGGUCGACAGUGGGGGAUCUUCGGAUCUCUUGCUAUCAGAUGAGCAUAGAUCGGAUUAGCUAGUAUGUGGGGUAAUGGCCUACCAAGGCGACGAUCCGUAACUGGUCUGAGAGGAUGGUCAGUCACACGGUAACAGAGACAGAGUCCAGACUCCUACAGUGAGCAGCGGUGGAGAAUAUUACACGAUGGGGGAGUGCCUAAUCCUGCCAAGCCGCGUAUGUGAUGAAGGACUACGGAUUGGUGAGCACUGAAGGUUGUAGGGGUGGACAGCAAGUUAAUACCUUACGAUUAUGACAUUACCGAGAGAAUAAGCACCGGCUAACUUCGUG